GUGCUCGCUUCGGCAACACAUAUACUAAAAACUGGAACGACAGACAUUAGCAUGGCCCCUGCGUUAAGGAUGACACACAAAUUCGUGAAGCAUUCCAUACUAAA
rnacentral:snRNA from 1 species